GGCUGGCUGCGUGCCCCUCAUUCCCGCCGCCCUUACAUGUGGUUGCUGGUGCCCUUAAAAUGAAGGGUGAUUCCCUCCGUUGGACUUGCUGGACCGUGGCUUCAUGGGCUGCAAGCUGUUGCCAAGGUGCUUGCUGUUUGCACCUCCAAAUGUUGCUCAAGCUUGACUCUCUCCUUCUGCUGGGUCGUGAGUGAAUGAGGAGCUAUUGUUGGAUGUUGUUGUUGGAGUGCAUAAGUCCAAGAUGAAAUCUGUGGGCUUCUUCUCAUUCCAAGAUGUGGCAGUUGGACGGUGGAGGUUAGAUGAAUGUAAAGUACUGGAACUCUUUGGGUCGUGACACUUCCGUGCACCCCCUACUUCACGUGCUAGAUGUAGCAUCUUGUGCUAAUGGGCCCGCUGCUUUGUAGAUGUAGGGUUCUACAUAUUAAAUUAAUCAACCCAUCACUUCCUCCUAAGUUAGACGUUGUGUAUAGGACCAUGAUGUGCAAAGCUGUUGGACAAUUUGAAGCUGGACGUCUAUGUGCUAGGGCAACCUUCUUUUGCUUUUUAUUCUCCAAGCCAAAUGAAGUCAACGUUUAAUCACUUGGGUCGUGGCAUGCUAUGCUGGCUUCUUCAAAUGGAAUCAAAUUGUCAUGCAUGUGACAGCUCUGCCAGACGCACCUCCUUUUUACUGAAUCAGUACCUCCACUUUUCUUAUUUAAACGCCAAAUGUCCCAAAUUAUAUUUCCAAAAUUCUUCUUGCAAUUAAUAAUGCAAAUAAUUAACUCGGAUAAUUCAAAUUAAUUAAAAUUAGAAUUUCCGGUCAAAUUAAGCACAAUUAGCAAAAACGGAAAAAUACCGGACAUUUAUGCACAAUUCC
rnacentral:lncRNA from 1 species